rnacentral:tRNA from 2 species
GCCUGAGUGACGAAAUUGGUAAACGUAGUAGACUCAAAAUCUACCGGUAGUAAUACCUUAUGGGUUCGAGUCCCAUCUCAGGCACCA